ACCUUUUAUAUAUACCGCAGACAGCAGGGGGAGAAAAUCCGUAAAGUUCCUGCCGAGGUUAAGAGUGGAGUUACAGAUACUCUUUCUUCUUAACAUGCGGAAAGAGUAUUUUUUAU
rnacentral:sRNA from 1 species